CCUACGGGGGGCAGCAGUAGGGAAUCUUCCACAAUGGGCGCAAGCCUGAUGGAGCAACACCGCGUGAGUGAAGAAGGGUUUCGGCUCGUAAAGCUCUGUUGUUGGAGAAGAACGUGCGUGAGAGUAACUGUUCACGCAGUGACGGUAUCCAACCAGAAAGUCACGGCUAACUACGUGCCAGCAGCCGCGGUAAUACGGAGGUGGCAAGCGUUAUCCGGAUUUAUUGGGCGUAAAGCGAGCGCAGGCGGUUGCUUAGGUCUGAUGUGAAAGCCUUCGGCUUAACCGAAGAAGUGCAUCGGAAACCGGUCAACUUGAGUGCAGAAGAGGACAGUGGAACUCCAUGUGUAGCGGUGGAAUGCGUAGAUAUAUGGAAGAACACCAGUGGCGAAGGCGGCUGUCUGGUCUGCAACUGACGCUGAGGCGCGAAAGCAUGGGUAGCGAACAGGAUUAGAUACCCGGGUAGUC
rnacentral:rRNA from 1 species